CAGAAUAUUGAUGAAAGUUAUAAAGAAACUAUAGCAGGAACAAUCGAUAAUGUUUGUUAAAGUGAAAAAUCAUGUGGUUAAUCAGACAACCUAAUAUUUAUAAAAAAUAAAGAAAUUGAAGUCAUUAUAAUCCUCAAAAAACAUUUCAAAUAAUAUACAACAAUAGACAUCUCAACAAUAACGACACCAUUGCUUUAAUCACUAAAGCUAGUAAUUCAAAAUCAAUUUCUCCAAGGACCCAAUAGAUCAGUUAACAGAAUCCACUACUAAACAAAAACGUCAACAUCAACAAUCUUAACAAACAUAAUGAGCAAUAAAACAAAUCUAUUAUAAUUGACCACAUUGAUCAAGCGACAACAUCUAUCCAAAAUCUUACCUAAAGGCAAAAUUCAAGGCAAACACCAAAUCAACCAUCAACAAAACAACAAACGGCAAAUAAGAUCUAUGUAGAUGAAAUAAUGGAAAUAU